rnacentral:lncRNA from 1 species
GCUGCAAACACUGUGCACUGGAACAGGAUGGGAUCAUUUCUCUCCAACUUUUUCUUGGUAGUCUUUAACAUUUGAUCUGGUUCCUUCCCUGGUAGAGAUGUUCAGGACAGCAUCCCCUUGAGGGACUGAGAGAAAGAGAGUGGUGGCUCAUACCCUGCUGCCCCUUGUGCUGAUGUCCUCUCCUGCCAGAGUCCAGAUCCAGGGGCAAAAAAGGCCUCCUUCCAUGACAUGUACAUAACGCUCUUGUGAAACAUCACCAGCCAAGGAGAGGUCUCUCUGCUCUUGAAGUUGUUCUUCAUGGUGUUCCUGAGGAUGUGCCAUGGGCUAUUGUGAGGCAGGCUACUGGGGUGGAAAAGGAACAAACUGUGUUUGCCUUUACUCAAGCCUAUCAUAUUUAACCAUCAUGCAGAUCAGCUCUACAAAAGGAGCAUAGGAUCAUAGAAUCAUUGAAUGGCUUGAGCUGGAAAAGACCCCCAGGGUCAUCAUGUUCUAACCACCCUGCCACAGGCAGGGUUACCAGCCUCUAGAUCUGGUACUAGACCAGGCUGACCAGGGUCCCGUCCAACCUGG